rnacentral:rRNA from 1 species
AGCGAACGCUGGCGGCAGGCCUAACACAUGCAAGUCGAGCGGCCGUAGCAAUACGGCAGCGGCAGACGGGAUAGUAACACGUGGGAACGUGCCCUUUGGUUCGGAAUAACUCGGCGAAAGCCGUGCUAAUACCGGAUAAGCCCUUACGGGGAAAGAUUUAUCGCCAUUGGAGCGGCCCGCGUCUGAUUAGCUAGUUGGUGAGGUAAUGGCUCACCAAGGCGACGAUCAGUAGCUGGUCUGAGAGGAUGAUCAGCAUCACUGGGACUGAGACACGGCCCAGACUCCUACGGGAGGCAGCAGUGGGGAAUAUUGGACAAUGGGCGCAAGCCUGAUCCAGCCAUGCCGCGUGGAUGAUGAAGGCCUUAGGGUUGUAAAGUCCUUUUAACGGGGAAGAUAAUGACGGUACCCGUAGAAUAAGCCCCGGCUAACUUCGUGCCAGCCGCCGCCGUAACAC